AUUGGGCGUUAAGUUGCAGGGUAUAGACCCGAAACCCGGUGAUCUAGCCAUGGGCAGGUUGAAGGUUGGGUAACACUAACUGGAGGACCGAACCGACUAAUGUUGAAAAAUUAGCGGAUGACCUGUGGCUGGGGGUGAAAGGCCAAUCAAACCGGGAGAUAGCUGGUUCUCCCCGAAAGCUAUUUAGGUAGCGCCUCGUGAAUUCAUCUCCGGGGGUAGAGCACUGUUUCGGCUAGGGGGCCAUCCCGGCUUACCAACCCGAUGCAAACUGCGAAUACCGGAGAAUGUUAUCACGGGAGACACACGGCGGGUGCUAACGUCCGUCGUGAAGAGGGAAACAACCCAGACCGCCAGCUAAGGUCCCAAAGUCAUGGUUAAGUGGGAAACGAUGUGGGAAGGCCCAGACAGCCAGGAUGUUGGCUUAGAAGCAGCCAUCAUUUAAAGAAAGCGUAAUAGCUCACUGGUCGAGUCGGCCUGCGCGGAAGAUGUAACGGGGCUAAACCAUGCACCGAAGCUGCGGCAGCGAACGUAUCACCCAAGACAACUUUACGGAGUUGACGAUUGACGGAGCGAAGCGACGUCAAAGCGUUCAUUAAAGUCGAGUUGGCUUAGGGAUACGUUCGUUGGGUAGGGGAGCGUUCUGUAAGCCUGUGAAGGUGUGUCGUGAGGCAUGCUGGAGGUAUCAGAAGUGCGAAUGCUGACAUAAGUAACGAUAAAGCGGGUGAAAAGCCCGCUCGCCGGAAGACCAAGGGUUCCUGUCCAACGUUAAUCGGGGCAGGGUGAGUCGACCCCUAAGGCGAGGCCGAAAGGCGUAGUCGAUGGGAAACGGGUUAAUAUUCCCGUACUUGGUGUUACUGCGAAGGGGGGACGGAGAAGGCUAUGUUGGCCGGGCGACGGUUGUCCCGGUUUAAGCGUGUAGGUGUGUGUUCCAGGUAAAUCCGGUUCACUUUAACACUGAGGCGUGACGACGAGGCACUACGGUGCUGAAGCAACAAAUGCCCUGCUUCCAGGAAAAGCCUCUAAGCAUCAGGUAACAUCAAAUCGUACCCCAAACCGACACAGGUGGUCAGGUAGAGAAUACCAAGGCGCUUGAGAGAACUCGGGUGAAGGAACUAGGCAAAAUGGUGCCGUAACUUCGGGAGAAGGCACGCUGACACGUAGGUGAAGUGAUUUACUCAUGGAGCUGAAGUCAGUCGAAGAUACCAGCUGGCUGCAACUGUUUAUUAAAAACACAGCACUGUGCAAACACGAAAGUGGACGUAUACGGUGUGACGCCUGCCCGGUGCCGGAAGGUUAAUUGAUGGGGUCAGCGCAAGCGAAGCUCCUGAUCGAAGCCCCGGUAAACGGCGGCCGUAACUAUAACGGUCCUAAGGUAGCGAAAUUCCUUGUCGGGUAAGUUCCGACCUGCACGAAUGGCGUAAUGAUGGCCAGGCUGUCUCCACCCGAGACUCAGUGAAAUUGAACUCGCUGUGAAGAUGCAGUGUACCCGCGGCAAGACGGAAAGACCCCGUGAACCUUUACUAUAGCUUGACACUGAACAUUGAGCCUUGAUGUGUAGGAUAGGUGGGAGGCUUUGAAGUGUGGACGCCAGUCUGCAUGGAGCCGACCUUGAAAUACCACCCUUUAAUGUUUGAUGUUCUAACGUGGACCCGUAAUCCGGGUUGCGGACAGUGUCUGGUGGGUAGUUUGACUGGGGCGGUCUCCUCCUAAAGAGUAACGGAGGAGCACGAAGGUUGGCUAAUCCUGGUCGGACAUCAGGAGGUUAGUGCAAUGGCAUAAGCCAGCUUGACUGCGAGCGUGACGGCGCGAGCAGGUGCGAAAGCAGGUCAUAGUGAUCCGGUGGUUCUGAAUGGAAGGGCCAUCGCUCAACGGAUAAAAGGUACUCCGGGGAUAACAGGCUGAUACCGCCCAAGAGUUCAUAUCGACGGCGGUGUUUGGCACCUCGAUGUCGGCUCAUCACAUCCUGGGGCUGAAGUAGGUCCCAAGGGUAUGGCUGUUCGCCAUUUAAAGUGGUACGCGAGCUGGGUUUAGAACGUCGUGAGACAGUUCGGUCCCUAUCUGCCGU
rnacentral:rRNA from 1 species